GUGCCAGCAGCCGCGGUAAUACGUAGGUCCCGAGCGUUGUCCGGAUUUAUUGGGCGUAAAGCGAGCGCAGGUGGUUUAAUAAGUCUGAUGUAAAAGGCAGUGGCUCAACCAUUGUGUGCAUUGGAAACUGUUAGACUUGAGUGCAGUAGAGGAGAGUGGAAUUCCAUGUGUAGCGGUGAAAUGCGUAGAUAUAUGGAGGAACACCGGUGGCGAAAGCGGCUCUCUGGACUGUAACUGACACUGAGGCUCGAGAGCGUGGGUAGCAAACAGGAUUAGAUACCCUGGUAGUCCACGCCGUAAACGAUGAGUGCUAGUUGUUUGGGGCUAUCCAGCCCUAAGUGACGCAGCAAACGCAUUAAGCACUCCGCCUGGGGAGUACGACCGCAAGGUUGAAACUCAAAGGAAUUGACGGGGGCCCGCACAAGCGGUGGAGCAUGUGGUUUAAUUCGAAGCAACGCGAAGAACCUUACCAGGUCUUGACAUACCAGUGCUAUUCUUAGAGAUAAGAAGUUACUUCGGUACACUGGAUACAGGUGGUGCAUGGUUGUCGUCAGCUCGUGUCGUGAGAUGUUGGGUUAAGUCCCGCAACGAGCGCAACCCCUAUUGUUAGUUGCCAUCAUUAAGUUGGGCACUCUAGCGAGACUGCCGGUAAUAAACCGGAGGAAGGUGGGGAUGACGUCAAAUCAUCAUGCCCCUUAUGACCUGGGCUACACACGUGCUACAAUGGUUGGUACAACGAGUCGCAAGCUAGUGAUAGCAAGCUAAUCUCUUAAAGCCAAUCUCAGUUCGGAUUGUAGGCUGCAACUCGCCUACAUGAAGUCGGAAUCGCUAGUAAUCGCGGAUCAGCACGCCGCGGUGAAUACGUUCCCGGGCCUUGUACACACCGCCCGU
rnacentral:rRNA from 1 species